UGGCUCUGGCAUCGAUGAAGAACGCAGCGAAAUGCGAUAAGUAGUGUGAAUUGCAGAAUUCCGUGAAUCAUCGAAUCUUUGAACGCACAUUGCGCCCCUCGGUAUUCCGUGGGGCAUGCCUGUUCGAGCGUCAUUUACACCCUCAAGCACUGCUUGGUGUUGGGCGUCUGUCCCGCCUUCGGGCGCGGACUCGCCUCAAAGCGAUUGGCGGCUGGUGCCACGGCCUGGAGUGCAGCAGAAUUGCGCUCCUCGCCCGCGGCCUGGCUCCCAGAAGCGAACCUAUUUCACUUGUUUGACCUCGAAUCAGGUAGGGAUACCCGCUGA
rnacentral:misc_RNA from 1 species